rnacentral:rRNA from 1 species
AGGAAUAUUGGUCAAUGGACGAGAGUCUGAACCAGCCAAGUAGCGUGAAGGAUGACUGCCCUAUGGGUUGUAAACUUCUUUUAUAUGGGAAUAAAGUGCAGUAUGUAUACUGUUUUGUAUGUACCAUACGAAUAAGGAUCGGCUAACUCCGUGCCAGCAGCCGCGGUAAUACGGAGGAUCCAAGCGUUAUCCGGAUUUAUUGGGUUUAAAGGGAGCGUAGGCGGAUUAUUAAGUCAGUUGUGAAAGUUUGCGGCUCAACCGUAAAAUUGCAGUUGAUACUGGUAGUCUUGAGUGCAGCAGAGGUAGGCGGAAUUCGUGGUGUAGCGGUGAAAUGCUUAGAUAUCACGAAGAACUCCGAUUGCGAAGGCAGCUUACUGGACUGUAACUGACGCUGAUGCUCGAAAGUGUGGGUAUCAAACAGGAUUAGAUACCCUGGUAGUCCACACAGUAAACGAUGAAUACUCGCUGUUUGCGAUAUACAGCAAGCGGCCAAGCGAAAGCAUUAAGUAUUCCACCUGGGGAGUACGCCGGCAACGGUGAAACUCAAAGGAAUUGACGGGGGCCCGCACAAGCGGAGGAACAUGUGGUUUAAUUCGAUGAUACGCGAGGAACCUUACCCGGGCUUAAAUUGCAACUGACGGAUUUGGAAACAGAUCUUCCUUCGGGCAGUUGUGAAGGUGCUGCAUGGUUGUCGUCAGCUCGUGCCGUGAGGUGUCGGCUUAAGUGCCAUAACGAGCGCAACCCUUAUCUUUAGUUACUAACAGGUCAUGCUGAGGACUCUAGAGAGACUGCCGUCGUAAGAUGUGAGGAAGGUGGGGAUGACGUCAAAUCAGCACGGCCCUUACGUCCGGGGCUACACACGUGUUACAAUGGGGGGUACAGAAGGCAGCUACACAGCGAUGUGAUGCUAAUCCCAAAAGCCUCUCUCAGUUCGGAUUGGAGUCUGCAACCCGACUCCAUGAAGCUGGAUUCGCUAGUAAUCGCGCAUCAGCCACGGCGCGGUGAAUACGUUCCCG